AUACUGCUGAGCUAGGGACCGGGAGAGGCCGAGGGUAUUCCCGGGGUAGGGGUGAAAUCCUGUAAUCCCGGGAGGACCACCUGUGGCGAAGGCGCUCGGCUGGAACGGGUCCGACGGUGAGGGACGAAGGCCUGGGGAGCGAACCGGAUUAGAUACCCGGGUAGUCCAGGCUGUAAACGAUGCGGGCUAGGUGUCACCGGAGCUACGAGCUCCGGUGGUGCCGGAGGGAAGCCGUUAAGCCCGCCGCCUGGGAAGUACGGCCGCAAGGCUGAAACUUAAAGGAAUUGGCGGGGGAGCACUACAACGGGUGGAGCCUGCGGUUUAAUUGGAUUCAACGCCGGGAAGCUUACCGGGGGAGACAGCGGGAUGAAGGUCGGGCUGAAGAUCUUACCAGACUAGCUGAGAGGUGGUGCAUGGCCGCCGUCAGUUCGUACUGUGAAGCAUCCUGUUAAGUCAGGCAACGAGCGAGACCCGCGCCCUCAGUUGCCAGCGGGUCCCUUCGGGGACGCCGGGCACACUGAGGGGACUGCCGGCGCUAAGCCGGAGGAAGGUGCGGGCAACGGCAGGUCCGUAUGCCCCGAAACCCCCGGGCUACACGCGGGCUACAAUGGCCGGGACAAUGGGUACCGACCCCGAAAGGGGUGGGUAAUCUCCUAAACCCGGUCUAACCUGGGAUCGAGGGCUGCAACUCGCCCUCGUGAACCUGGAAUCCGUAGUAAUCGCGUCUC
rnacentral:rRNA from 1 species